ACGGGGCCCGCACAAGCGGUGGAGCAUGUGGUUUAAUUCGAUGCAACGCGAAGAACCUUUACCUGGUCUUGACAUCCACGGAAGUUUUCAGAGAUGAGAAUGUGCCUUCGGGAACCGUGAGACAGGUGCUGCAUGGCUGUCGUCAGCUCGUGUUGUGAAAUGUUGGGUUAAGUCCCGCAACGAGCGCAACCCUUAUCCUUUGUUGCCAGCGGUCCGGCCGGGAACUCAAAGGAGACUGCCAGUGAUAAACUGGAGGAAGGUGGGAUGACGUCAAGUCAUCAUGGCCCUUACGACCAGGGCUACACACGUGCUACAAUGGCGCAUACAAGGAGAAGCGACCUCGCGAGAGCAAGCGGACCUCAUAAAGUGCGUCGUAGUCCGGAUUGGAGUCUGCAACUCGACUCCAUGAAGUCGGAAUCGCUAGUAAUCGUGGAUCAGAAUGCCACGGUGAAUACGUUCCCGGGCCUU
rnacentral:rRNA from 1 species